UACGAGGGGGGCAAGCGUUGUUCGGAAUUAUUGGGCGUAAAGGGUGCGUAGGCGGUUUUGUAAGUCUUGUGUGAAAUCUUCAGGCUCAACUUGAAGACUGCACGAGAAACUGCAGGGCUUGAGUGUGGGAGAGGUGAGUGGAAUUCCUGGUGUAGCGGUGAAAUGCGUAGAUAUCUGGAGGAAUACCGGUGGCGAAGGCGGCAUCCUGGACCGGCAUUGACGCUGAGGAGCGAAAGCCAGGGGAGCAAACGGG
rnacentral:rRNA from 1 species